GGGGUUACUGGUACAGAGUCAAUGUGGAGGCUAUAUACUGGAGGUACCGGUACAGAGUCAAUGUGGAGGCUAUAUACUGGAGGUACCGGUACAGAGUCAAUGUGGAGGCUAUAUACAGGGGGUACCGGUACAGAGUCAAUGUGGAGGCUAUAUACAGGGGGUACCGGUACAGAGUCAAUGUGGAGGCUAUAUACAGGGGUUACUGGUACAGAGUCAAUGUGGAGGCUAUAUACAGGGGGUACCGGUACAGAGUCAAUGUGGAGGCUAUAUACAGGGGGUACCGGUACAGAGUCAAUGUGGAGGCUAUAUACAGGGGGUACUGGUACAGAGUCAAUGUGGAAGCUAUAUACAGUGGGUACCGGUACAGAGUCAAUGUGGAGGCUAUAUACAGGGGGUACCGGUACAGAGUCAAUGUGGAGGCUAUAUACAGGGUGUUACGGUACAGAGUCAAUGUGGAGGCUAUAUACAGGGUGUUACGGUACAGAGUCAAUGUGGAGGCUAUAUACAGGGGGUACCGGUAUAGAGUCAAUGUGGAGGCUAUAUACAGGGGUUACUGGUACACAGUCAAUGUGGAGGCUAUAUACAGGGUGUUACGGUACAGAGUCAAUGUGGAGGCUAUAUACCGGUACAGAGUCAAUGUGGAGGCUAUAUACAGGGGGUACCGGUACAGAGUCAAUGUGUCAAUGUGCAAGGGCACCGAUGUUGAGGUAAUUAUGUACAUGCAGGUAGGGUUGUUAAAGUGGCUAUGCAUAGAUAACAGAAAGUAGUAGCAGCAUGAGGGGGGGUGCAAAUAGUCUGGGUAGUCAUUUGAUUAGCUGUUCAGGAGUCUUAUGGCUUGCAGGUAGAAGCUGUUUAGAAGCCUCUUGGACCUAGAUUUGGCGCUCCGGUACCACUUGCCGUGCAGUAGUAGAGAGAACAGUCUAUGGCUAGGGUGGCUGGAGUCUGACGAUUUUUAGGGCCUUCCUCUGACACCGCCUGGUAUAGAGGUCCUGGAUGGCAGGAUGCUUGGCCUCGGGGAUGUACUGGGCCGUACGCACUACCCUCUGUAGCGCCUUGCGGUCGCGGAGGCCAAGCAGUUGCCAAACCAGGCAGUGAUGCAACCCAUCAGGAUGCUCUCGAUGGUGCAGCUGUAAAAUCUUUUGAGGACCCAUGCCAAAUCUUUUCAGUGUCCUGAGGGGGAAUAGGUAAUGAUGGGGUUGGAGUUGUCCCUGGCUGUGCAGUCAUCCUGUACUCCAUCUGUCAAACUAGACCAAUUUAGUGUUAAUGUCUAAUAAUCUUACAGCCUUUGUGCUAAAUUUGACAGUCGCCCACACUGUGAAAGAGUGAUGGGUUAAACGUGUCUUCAGAUUUUCAGUUAAUUCCUGUCUCUAAUCCUUGGUAAUGACAGUCUGUGGUUUAUUGGUAUUUAGGGUUCUAUUCAAUCUGUGUCGCUGAAGCGUUAAGAGAUUCCACGAUAGAAAUGUAAAAUGGCAGCCGACAUAUGCUGGAUGCAGUCUCUACUAACGCAGGGAACAUUCCUUUUAAAAUGUUAAAUCACACUGUAACGGUGGACUUUAGCGACACGCAGGGAAUAGAGACCUUAGAUUUGUAACUCAAUGAGAAAAAUAAAGGCUGUGUUGGAAGAAGG
rnacentral:lncRNA from 1 species